rnacentral:rRNA from 1 species
ACCUGCGGAAGGAUCAUUACCGAGUGCGGGUCUUUUGGGUCCAACCUCCCAUCCGUGUCUAUUGUACCCUGUUGCUUCGGCGGGCCCGCCGCUUGUCGGCCGCCGGGGGGGCGCCUCUGCCCCCCGGGCCCGUGCCCGCCGGAGACCCCAACACGAACACUGUCUGAAAGCGUGCAGUCUGAGUUGAUUGAAUGCAAUCAGUUAAAACUUUCAACAAUGGAUCUCUUGGUUCCGGCAUCGAUGAAGAACGCAGCGAAAUGCGAUAACUAAUGUGAAUUGCAGAAUUCAGUGAAUCAUCGAGUCUUUGAACGCACAUUGCGCCCCCUGGUAUUCCGGGGGGCAUGCCUGUCCGAGCGUCAUUGCUGCCCUCAAGCCCGGCUUGUGUGUUGGGUCGCCGUCCCCCUCUCCGGGGGGACGGGCCCGAAAGGCAGCGGCGGCACCGCGUCCGAUCCUCGAGCGUAUGGGGCUUUGUCACAUGCUCUGUAGGAUUGGCCGGCGCCUGCCGACGUUUUCCAACCAUUCUUUCCAGGUUGACCUCGGAUCAGGUAGGGAUACCCGCUGAACUUAAGCAUAUCAAUA